rnacentral:rRNA from 1 species
UACAGAGGUCUCAAGCGUUGUUCGGAAUUACUGGGCGUAAAGGGUGCGCAGGCCGCGCGGGCAGUCAGAUGUGUAAUUCAGGGGCUCAACCCCUGCACUGCGCUUGAUACUUCCGCGCUCGAGCUUUGGAAAGGAGUCUGGAAUUCUCGGUGUAGCAGUGAAAUGCGUGGAUAUCGAGAAGAACACUUAGGGCGAAGGCAAGACUCUGGACAAAUGCUGACGCUCAUGCACGAAGGCUAGGGUAGCGAACGGG